rnacentral:rRNA from 1 species
UACGUAGGGGGCGAGCGUUGUCCGAAGUUACUGGGCGUAAAGCGCGCGUAGGCGGUCCUUUAAGUCUGGGGUGAAAGGUUCAGCGCUCAACGUGAACAGUGCCUUGGAGACUGGGGGACUUGAGUGUGGGAGGGGGCAGUGGAAUUCCUGGUGUAGCGGUGAAAUGCGUAGAUAUCAGGAGGAACACCGAUGGCGAAGCAG